rnacentral:tRNA from 2 species
GGAGAGGUGCCGGAGCCAGGUUGAUCGGGGCGCCCUGCUAAGGCGUUGUGGGCCGCAAGGCUCACCGUGGGUUCAAAUCCCACCCUCUCCG